rfam:Bacillus pseudalcaliphilus strain DSM 8725 Contig28, whole genome shotgun sequence.
CUGAAGGAAGCCGGCGGCAAACUUCUGCCCCGAGGAACACGAAUCUCAUACAAGGCUAGGUGAUGUUGGAUGAGUCUGCCAUUCAAGACAAAGUCCUUACUGCCAAAGGGAUUACUUAGUAAAUGAGGCGGGGACAUGGAAGGAAAGUCUGUA